rnacentral:snoRNA from 1 species
CCCAGCUGUAGGCAGCUGCCUAGGUUGCCUUGUUCCUAGGCAAGUAUUACACUGCUGGGAGAAAAACAACGCAUAGCUGGUGGGCAUUCUGGGCCUUGUUAAUGCCACAUUUGUGUUAACUAU